rnacentral:tRNA from 1 species
GGACCCCUAGCUCAGUGGUCAGAGCAGCGGACUCAUAAUCCGUUGGUCCUGGGUUCAAGUCCCAGGGGGUCCACCA